CUGAGUUGAAUCACCAUUGCAGCUUAAGUCUGACUUGACAGCUGUGAUAAGCUUGGUUAUGAAAGUUCAUGGAAUAAUUUACUGAUGGGAUUUGUGAUCACAAAGUUAGCCAGAAUGAAUUCAUCUUAUUUCUGUGUGUGAGUUGAGAGUGGAAAUUUCCAAAGUUGAGUCCUAGCUGUACAUCUGUACUGUUCAGCAUGGUCUUAUCACGUAACUAAGCAACCUGGCUAGUACAAAGUGAGGAAGACUAAACAACUUUCCCUGAGCCUCAUGGGAACAAGAAAGGAAGAGAUUCUACCACGAGGGAGACGGAAGAUGGAUGCCAACAUACAGAACUCGAACCGCUGCUGUUCAGGUGGUCCCAAAGAAUUCUGGCUGGAUCCUGAAACAAGCUGGAAGAGAUUAGCACUAGACGUCCAAGCAACCACAGGAUUUGAAAAUUGAUGGACAACUGAGACAACAUACAGGACGUAAGAGAGUGAAGGAACAUGGAUGAAACAGAUCGAAGCCAGCCUCUGAACCCACAUUCCACUACUAUUAACAUCGGAUCUUAGAAGAAUGGCAGAGCUCUGCACUCUUGUUGACUUCAUAUUCUGGACUUUUAAAGGCACAUAUGUGCCUUUUUCCUGCUGACUGAAAUUAGAAUCAGACAUUGGAAGUAACUGAUUACAUGUUGUUAUAACAAAAAACUACCUACCGUAAGCAAAUGGUACUGUAACUAGUAGUUACAUAGUUAUUUCUUAGAUGUAAUGAGUAAAAGCAAUUUACUUUCUAAAGUUACUUCUA